AUAUAAGGGUCUCGUGCCCCUGGAAUC
rnacentral:piRNA from 1 species